rnacentral:ncRNA from 15 species
UUUUAGAAAUGGAAAAUAGACCUUUGAUGACUCUAAAGAAAUUUUUAACCUUCCAUUUAUGACUGAUCUAUUAAUCUCAAAUAUGACAUAGUGCUAAUUUUGAUCUAAGUAAGCUCUGAAUCGUGAAUCUCUUAAGUAUUAAAAUAGUAAGUUGUCUUAAAAAUUAUUCUAUCUCCAAUCAGUACACUACACUAUAAAAAUUGCUAUAAAAAAGAACUAUUGAUGAAAAUUGAGGAGGUAAUUAUGGCAGCAAAAUGUACCAAAGCACUAAUUAUAGACUCACUUUUAUAUUACAGUUAUGUGUUGAUGCAUCAAUGUUGAUGUAUCUUUAGAUUAUUUAGGCGAAAAAUUAGG